rnacentral:misc_RNA from 1 species
GUCCAGCAGCCGCGGUAAUACGUUCCCGGGUCUUGUACACACCGCCCGUCACACCACGAGAGUUUACAACACCCGAAGCCGGUGGGGUAACCGCAAGGAGCCAGCCGUCGAAGGUGGGGUAGAUGAUUGGGGUGAAGUCGUAACAAGGUAGCCGUAUCGGAAGGUGCGGCUGGAUCACCUCCUUUCUAAGGAAUUACCUGAUCACGUAGAUGAUCAGAUAAAAGGCUGCAGUUGUUACUCGCUCGUUGUCAGUUUUGAAAGAACAAUGUUCUUUCGAUGAAUAUACGUUGGCCUUUAGCUCAGCUGGUUAGAGCGCACCCCUGAUAAGGGUGAGGUCGGUGGUUCGAGUCCACUAAGGCCAACCAUUUCAAUUUCAUACGGGGCCAUAGCUCAGCUGGGAGAGCGCCUGCCUUGCAAGCAGGAGGUCAGCGGUUCGAUCCCGCUUGGCUCCACCAGUCCAAUCUCAUUGGACGAUAUUGCACCUUGAAAACUGGAUAGCGAAUAAUGAAACAUCCUUUAGCUUAAAGUAAUUAUGCUUUAACGAAGUGUUUCUAAGGAGAAGGUGGUUUAUCUUCUUCGAAGAAAACUGGUUAAGCUACUAAGGGCGCACGGAGGAUACCUAGGCACACAGAGA